GACGUAGGGCGCGAGCGUUGUCCGGAUUUAUUGGGCGUAAAGAGCUCGUAGGCGGUUUGUCGCGUCUGCCGUGAAAGUCCGGGGCUCAACUCCGGAUCUGCGGUGGGUACGGGCAGACUAGAGUGAUGUAGGGGAGACUGGAAUUCCUGGUGUAGCGGUGAAAUGCGCAGAUAUCAGGAGGAACACCGGUGGCGAAGGCGGGUCUCUGGGCAGUAACUGACGCUGAGGAGCGAAAGCGUGGGUAGCGAACAGG
rnacentral:rRNA from 1 species